AACGAACGCUGGCGGCAGGCUUAAUACAUGCAAGUCGAACGGGCGCAGCAAUGCGUCAGUGGCAGACGGGUGAGUAACACGUGGGAACCUUCCUCGUUGUACGGAACAACUCAGGGAAACUUGAGCUAAUACCGUAUAAGUCCGAGAGGAGAAAGAUUUAUCGCAAUGAGACGGGCCCGCGUCGGAUUAGGUAGUUGGUGAGGUAACGGCUCACCAAGCCGACGAUCCGUAGCUGAUCUGAGAGGAUGAUCAGCCACACUGGGACUGAGACACGGCCCAGACUCCUACGGGAGGCAGCAGUAGGGAAUCUUGGACAAUGGGCGCAAGCCUGAUCCAGCCAUGCCGCGUGAGUGAAGAAGGCCUGGUUGUAAGU
rnacentral:rRNA from 1 species